AAAAGACGAUCUCAGUUCGGAUUGCAGGCUGCAACCCGCCCUGCAUGAAGUUGGAAUCGCUAGUAAUCGCGGAUCAGCAUGCCGCGGUGAAUACGUUCCCGGGCCUUGUACACACCGCCCGUCACACCAUGAGAGUCGGGAACACCCGAAGUCCGUAGCCUAACCGCAAGGGGGGCGCGGCCGAAGGUGGGUUCGAUAAUUGGGGUGAAGUCGUAACAAGGUACC
rnacentral:rRNA from 1 species